GCUCUGGUGGUCUAGUAGAAUGAUACGUGCUUUGGGAAUUCCGCUCAUCUGCACGGGGUCCCGGGUUCAAAUCCCGGCCAGGGUC